rnacentral:rRNA from 1 species
UGCGUAGGCGGAACUUUAAGUCAGUGGUGAAAUCCUGCGGCUCAACCGUAGAACUGCCAUUGAUACUGAUGUUCUUGAAUGCAGUUGAGGUAGGCGGAAUGUGUAAUGUAGCGGUGAAAUGCUUAGAUAUUACACAGAACACCGAUUGCGAAGGCAGCUUGCUAAACUGUGAUUGACGCUGAUGCACGAAAGCGUGGGGAGCGAACAGGAUUAGAUACCCUGGUAGUCCC